AUCUUGCGCAAUGGGCGAAAGCCUGACGCAGCAACGCCGCGUGCGGGAAGAAGGCUCUCGGGUUGUAAACCGCUUUCAGUAGGAACGAAUUUGACGGUACCUGCAGAAGAAGGUGCGGCCAACUACGUGCCAGCAGCCGCGGUGACACGUAGGCACCAAGCGUUGUCCGGAUUUAUUGGGCGUAAAGAGCUCGUAGGCGGUUCAGUAAGUCGGGUGUGAAAACUCUGGGCUUAACCCAGAGCCUGCACUCGAUACUGCUGUGACUAGAGUUCGGUAGGGGAGUGGGGAAUUCCUGGUGUAGCGGUGAAAUGCGCAGAUAUCAGGAGGAACACCGGUGGCGAAGGCGCCACUCUGGGCCGAAACUGACGCUGAGGAGCGAAAGCGUGGGUAGCAAACAGG
rnacentral:rRNA from 1 species